UAUGCCCCUGAUUCCACUUCCCCAGAAUUUUUGCCCUAUUUUACACACAGGUGUUCUGUGAGAAGCAACAAAUUCGAGCAUAGCCAAAAAUGGAAGAAGAAUGAGGCGACAGAGAGUUUGGGAUUUUCUGUAAAAGGGUGGUUGGCCUUCUCUGCUUUGCCAGUGAUUUCUCCAUUAAUGGAACAAAAAGCCAACAACCCUUUUAAAUGAACAAGAAAAACAAACAUUAUUAAUAUUUAAUUCUUCCAAACACACCCUAAUUAUACUUUUCUUCCUCUUUCUCCUUCUCCUCUCUUUGUGCUGCUGAAUGCUGAUGUUGUAACGGGGGCUAUGACGAUUGAUUGCUUCCUUUCUGGGCUAUGUUCAAUCACGGCAUUGAGGAAAAUCCGACCCGUAUCUUGGCAGGGCGACCCGGUUAAGGCUUUGAAUAGCAAACUGGUGUCUGCAGCCAUGGCGGCGUCGCUUUUCUCUUUUGCUUUGUUAAGAAAUACAGCAAAUCUGAGCCCUUAAUAUCCCAAUUCGUGGUCUUGAAUGGUGAGUCCAUUCUCGGGUCGGAAAACCCAUUACGGGUUUGAGACGAAGAAUGAGGCAUCGGAGAAAUUGGGAUUUUCUGUGAAGGGUGGUUGCCCAUCUCAUUUUUGCCAGUGAUUUCGCCAUUGCUAACCAAAAAAAACCAACAGCCCUUUAAAAUAAACAAAAUAAAUAAAUAAAAAAUUGGAUGAACUUCGUCCGUACACACCCCUAUACUCUUGUUGUUGAUGAUGAUGUUGUGAAGGGGCUGUGAUGAUUGCUUGCUUCCUUUUUGGGCUUUGUUCAAUCACGGCAUUGAGAAGAUCCGACCCGUAUCUUGGCAGGGCGACCUGGUUAAGGCUUUGAAUAGCAAAUUAGUGUCACUGCAGCCAUGGCGUUGUCGCUCUUCUCCAUCGCAUAAUUCAAAUACAGCAAAUCUGAGCCCUCAAUAAUUUGUUUCAUGGUUUUGGAUGGCGAGUUUUAUCGGGUCGGAAAACCUAUUAUGGGUUUGCGUUGAAAUUUCAGCUCUGAAGAAUGAGGCAUACAACAAACGGGAAAUUCAAAGAAUGAAAAAAACAAAUAAUUUCCCCAAACAUGGAAAAGGUUAGCCUAGAAAGAAAGAAAGAAAUGAGCCAAAAUAGAGAGUUUGGAUGCUUGUUACCUUAUUGUUUUUGUUUUUGCGUAUAAUUUAGUUUGUCUUAUUUUAUUCUUUACCAUACCUAUUUAAAGUAGUGUUUAUCCCCAAAUUUGAUACCCUUUUCUAUAUCUUGAUAGUCCAAAAAUUCCGAGGUUAUGAAGAUAUCUUAAAAAAGACUGAAAAACAUUUGAGUUAAUUCCUAGUCCUGGCAUGGCAAAGACAACUUGGAAGGUCUGUGAAGGAGGAUGAGAAAUAAUAAAUUUCUUGUAGUCCCUUCUCACGAGGCAACCAAUCUUUGCAGCCAUGCCUGUUUUAGCUCUGCUCUUUGAUUAACUAGGCGAAAAUCUGAGCCUCCUACCUCAGUUUAACUUAGUUUCAUGAUUUGAUCACUGAAACAGUAUCUGUUAGGGGCUUUCUUGAAUUGAUCUAAAAAAUCAGUUAUUGUUUUUCAAUCUUGAAAUUGAUUUUAUUUUUUCAAAAAUGUUGUGGGAUAAUUUGGUUUUCAUGAAAAGAGUGGCAAACAAUGGCAUGGUCUUGAGUCUUGAUGCCUUCAUGUCCCCACUAACUUAUUUCUGAAAUUUGGUGACUGGUCCCAAGCAAGAGUCGAUGAUAGCAAACACAGGUGAUGGUGAAUGUUGAUAGGAAAGUAAAACAUUAAUUUCUGAAAUUUGAUGACUGGUCCCAAACAAGAGUCGAUGAUAGCAAACACAGGUGACGGUGAAUGUUGAUAGGAAAGUAGAACUACUUUUAGCUUCAACUGACAAGUAUAUCUAUAGUUUGGUCAGUAAUAAACUUGGCAUAUUGGUCUUUCUUAUUCAUUAUCACUAUCUUAAUGUAAAGUAAUACUAAUUUCUAUGCAUCAUGAGUAUAUCUCUUACAAAGAAUCCCUCAAAUUGCCAAUGCAUGGUGAAUUCUGUAUUGUUCUAGCGCUCAUUUGUAAGUCAGACUGUCCUCGAGUCUCACUGGACUUUUACUUGACAUGCUCAAAGCCUCUUGUUGCAAGGUCUUUAGCAUCUUGAAGACAGUUACAGAACUUUUGCCUUACAAUUCCAAGAAUUCUGGGAGGUCAAUCUUUCUCUUGCUCUUUCUUGCGGUGCCUUUUGAGAUUCUUCACUAAAAAAUCACUGGACAUUUAGUUGCAACAGCAUAUGAUAUUUGGAACAUGUUAUCUCUAUUUCUGGAAUAGGCCGGGUCAAGCCUAACAGCAUCAAGGAAGCAUAUGAAAGCUGGUGUUCCUGGGAAAUUGAAAAAUCCAUCUAAAAGGUUUGGGAAAUGGUAUCUGCUGCUAUAUUUUGGGGGCACUGGAAUGAACGGAAUUGUAGAUGUUUUGAUGAGAUUUUAACACCUACACAUGUACUCAAAGCAAAAUGCUUUAGUGAUUGAAUAGUUAUGUUGUGUAUAUGAGCAGGCAUUAUCUCCCUCUCUUGUAAUUUUUGCUUGCAUCUUCUGGAUGCCUUUAAUGAAUUACCCCUUACUUCAUGAAAAAAGUAUUGCAAGGUCAAAGCGAAAAUCCCCAAAAAACAUUCUUCUUUGUUGAUCUGAGUUGCUCAUCCUGAUGCUGUAGUUGUUUUGGAGGAGAUCAGCUGAAGAUCAGCUGAGUGCAAACUACAUCUUCUUGGCGCAUGGACAAAAAACAAAUUGCUUCAUUAUACUUAAUUAUUUGGGCUUAAAGACAUAGUUUCAUGAUGUUUAACCAUUUUCUUAAUUUUGUCCAAAUCUUGCAGACUCUACUGGAGAUAAAGAGAAGGAACUCUUUCAUACCAUGGUCUGCUGUGGCUGUAAAAAGUUAAACUCUAUGCAUGAAGUUGUCAUUUGCAUAAUGAUACACAUAGUAUUUCAGGGCAUGGAGAACUUAUUAACAAUGGAGGAGGAGAUUUAACAGCCUGUUUAGGUUGCUGCUACCAUAAUUUUUUUUCUUUAUGCUUCGCCGGAGUGUUCAAUGCUGCCAGUAGGGAUGGUGGAAGUGGCGGUGGUUAGUAGGAUUGACAGCUUUAAAGAGUGCAGAGAUGAGGAUAGUUCAAUGAAAGAUAAGAUGACCAAGUUGAUGAUUAGUUGAAAGAUUCAGCAAAAAAAGGUAAAACCAGCUUCUGAAGAUUAACUGCAGCACAUCAAAGUAUCAACUCUUUCAUGUGAGAUAGAGAAUUGGUUUAUAGAGUGGCAGGGCUCCUUGAGUAAAUGUGCAACGAGUAGAGUAAGAUUUUUUCUGGUACAAAAGUGGCAGUGCUGAGCCCACGGAGUAACAACUUAAUUCAAUGCCGUUGGUGUUUCUACAAUUACUCGUAUAUAUCUAGGAAAUGACUUUUAGGCGUGAAAUCGACAUGUAUACUGAUUGAAGAAUUAAUGCAGCAGCUUCAUUUAAGAUUCAACGAAGUCCAUAGGUAUACCAAACAUCUUUUGUUGAUUUGAUUGAUAAUUUGUACUCCUGUA